rnacentral:rRNA from 1 species
GAGUUUGAUCAUGGCUCAGAAUCAACGCUGGCGGCGUGCCUCAGACAUGCAAGUCGAACGAUUAAAGCUCCCUUCGGGGAGUGCAUAAAGUGGCGCACGGGUGAGUAACACGUAAGUAAUCUACCCUCGGGUGGGGAAUAACGUUCGGAAACGAACGCUAAUACCGCAUAAUGCAGCGGCACCGCAAGGUGACAGUUGUUAAAGAUUUAUUGCCUGGGGAGGAGCUUGCGGCAGAUUAGCUUGUUGGUAAGGUAACGGCUUACCAAGGCUACGAUCUGUAUCCGGUCUAAGAGGACGGUCGGACACACUGACACUGAAUAACGGGUCAGACUCCUACGGGAGGCAGCAGUCGGGAAUUUUGGGCAAUGGGCGAAAGCCUGACCCAGCAACGCCGCGUGAAGGAUGAAGUAUUUCGGUAUGUAAACUUCGAAAGAAUAGGAAGAAUAAAUGACGGUACUAUUUAUAAGGUCCGGCUAACUACGUGCCAGCAGCCGCGGUAAUGCGUAGGGACCAAGCGUUGUUCGGAUUUACUGGGCGUAAAGGGCGCGUAGGCGGCGUAAUAAGUCUCUUGUGAAAUCUCCGGGCUUAACUCGGAACGGUCAAGUGAUACUGUUGUGCUAGAGUACAGAAA